rnacentral:tRNA from 1 species
GGGUGAUUAGCUCAGCUGGGAGAGCACCUCCCUUACAAGGAGGGGGUCGGCGGUUCGACCCCGUCAUCCCCCACCA